rnacentral:tRNA from 1 species
GCGCCCGUAGCUCAAUCGGAUAGAGCAACGGACUUCUAAUCCGUAGGUUGGGCGUUCGAGUCGCCCCGGGCGUA